AUGAACGCUGGCGGCGUGCCUAAUACAUGCAAGUCGAGCGAACAGACGAGGAGCUUGCUCCUCUGACGUUAGCGGCGGACGGGUGAGUAACACGUGGAUAACCUACCUAUAAGACUGGGAUAACUUCGGGAAACCGGAGCUAAUACCGGAGAAUAUAUUGAACCGCAUGGUUCAAUAGUGAAAGACGGUUUUGCUGUCACUUAUAGAUGGAUCCGCGCCGCAUUAGCUAGUUGGUAAGGUAACGGCUUACCAAGGCAACGAUGCGUAGCCGACCUGAGAGGGUGAUCGGCACCACUGGACCUGAGACACGGUCCAGAUCCCUACGGGAGGCAGCAGUAGGGAAUCUUCCGAAAUGGGCGAAAGCCUGACGGAGCAACGCCGCGUGAGUGAUGAAGGUCUUCGGAUCGUAAAACUCUGUUAUUAGGGAAGAACAAAUGUGUAAGUAACUAUGCACGUCUUGACGGUACCUAAUCAGAAAGCCACGGCUAACUACGU
rnacentral:rRNA from 1 species